rnacentral:rRNA from 1 species
CACAAGCGGUGGAUUAUGUGGAUUAAUUCGAUGCAACGCGAAAACCUUACCUGGCCUUGACAUGUAGCGAACUUUCCAGAGAUGGAUUGGUGCUCGAAAGAGAACGCUAACACAGGUGCUGCAUGGCUGUCGUCAGCUCGUGUCGUGAGAUGUUGGGUUAAGUCCCGCAACGAGCGCAACCCUUGUCAUUAGUUGCUACAUUCAGUUGGGCACUCUAAUGAGACUGCCGGUGACAAACCGGAGGAAGGUGGGGAUGACGUCAAGUCCUCAUGGCCCUUAUAGGUGGGGCUACACACGUCAUACAAUGGAUGGUACAAAGGGUCGCCAACCCGCGAGGGGGAGCCAAUCCCAUAAAGCCAUUCGUAGUCCGGAUCGCAGUCUGCAACUCGACUGCGUGAAGUCGGAAUCGCUAGUAAUCGUGGAUCAGAAUGUCACGGUGAAUACGUUCCCGGGUCUU